GUGACAGAAGAAAAUGCUUGAAGUUCCCAGAGCCGAAUUCCCCAAACUUCAGUACAAAUGACAACUAUACAUUAACAAAAGCAAGCUGAACUCAGAGUCUUCCAGAUUCAUCCCGAAGAUGGGCCUACUUUGGACACCUGUGUAAACUGUCUCAAACUGCGUUAUUUCCUGGUGUGAAUUUCUGAUAUGAGAGUGAUCUGGUGGGAUUUCAGGGUUUACAGAUCAGUACUGCUCCCCAUGUUAUUAAAACAACAACAAAACAGGUUAUUUGUGGGUAACUGAAAUAAUACCUAGUUAGCUUUUGGGGUGACCAAAUGUUAAUUUAAGCAAGGGGCAUAGUUCUGGCCGCUUUUCUUUGUUGAGAAAAAAUGAAUGAAUAGCGAGCCCAUUAAAAACCUUCCUCUAUCAGAGCCUAGCUGUGGAGAAACUUACUUAAUGGAUCUGCUGAUAAUGACUUUGCAAAGAACCACUACUGUUAUUUUGUCAUAUACUACCCUGUCUCAGAUGUCUUUACUGUUAGGGUAAAGACACCCUAAUCUACUGUUAGGGUAAAGACGCCCUCACCUUAAUCCAGAGACUCAUCACCUUCUACCAAAGCUACUAUGACAACUUCCUGGCUAGACUUCUGCCUGCAGCCUCAUGUAUAUCCUAGUUCACGGUGGGUCUAGCUGGCUCAGAAAUCAUCCUAAAAGGUCAUGUUCAUGCUAUUAAUCCCUUUUCAAGGACUUGCAGUGGCACCCCACUGUUGAUCUCAUUAGGUUAAAACACCUUAUUCUCUGCAUCAGUAUGAGUACACCCUCUCUGCUCUGCCCAAAUUGGAACAGCCUGGAGCUUUUAUUUAUGCUCUUCCAUCAUUUUUUUUUUGGGGGGGGGGUCAAAUUUUUACCCAUCAAGCAAUUUGGCAAUAUGUACUGGGUCUUAAUUUUUUCCUACUCUUAAGGAAACAAUUCUUCAUAUAGAAACUCAUUUCAUGUACAAAGAUGGCCAUUACAGUUACUUAUAUACUAUAUAGUUAAAAGUUACAACUUAAAUGUUUAGCAAAGGAGAAAGAAUUAAGUGUGGUCCAUUUAUAAAACAGACAUAUAAAUGACAUUGUUAACACAGCAUAAAGAAUUAAUGUAAAAAAAAAUACUUAUGUUCCAACAGAGGAGAAAAAAAAAUUGAAGUCUGUAUAGAGCAUGAGCUCAAUUAAAAAAUAGGGAAGAACUUUUAGAAAUACAUAUUCCAAAACUGUCAAGAGAGGUUAUCUAUGGAUGGCACGAUUAUGGGUUACUUCUAGUUUUUUGUUUUUCAUACUUUUUCAGUGAUAUUUUAAUCAAAACAAUGUACUUUUUUCUUUUUAUAUCUUUUAUUGCUUUUGUUUCUGAUAGUUAAGGUAAUUCAUACCUAUUGUUAAAAUUUCAGACAAUAUAGAAAUACAUACAUUUUUAAAAAAUAAAAAUCACCUAUAAUUUCAAUAAAAGAAUCACCUAGUGAUA
rnacentral:lncRNA from 1 species